rnacentral:rRNA from 1 species
UGGGGAAUAUUGCACAAUGGGGGGAACCCUGAUGCAGCGACGCCGCGUGAGUGAAGAAGUCAUUCGUGAUGUAAAGCUCUAUCAGCAGGGAAGAAAAUGACGGUACCUGACUAAGAAGCCCCGGCUAACUACGUGCCAGCAGCCGCGGUAAUACGUAGGGGGCAAGCGUUAUCCGGAUUUACUGGGUGUAAAGGGAGCGUAGACGGCAGCGCAAGUCCGAAGUGAAAGCCCGGGGCCCAACCCCGGGACUGCUUUGGAAACUGUGAAGCUGGAGUGCGGGAGGGGCAGGCGGAAUUCCUGGUGUAGCGGUGAAAUGCGUAGAUAUCAGGAGGAACACCGGCGGCGAAGGCGGCCUGCUGGACCGUAACUGACGUUGAGGCUCGAAAGCGUGGGGAGCAAACAGG